rnacentral:piRNA from 1 species
UGUCCAUUGCCUGACAGGAUUCCUGUGGAGU